rnacentral:rRNA from 1 species
CGUAAAGCGCACGUAGGCGGAUCGGAAAGUUGGGGGUGGAAAUACCCGGGGCUCAACCCGGAACUGCCUCCAAAACUAAUCGGUCUAGAGUUCGAGAGAGGUGAGUGGAAUUCCGAGUGUAGAGGUGAAAUUCGUAGAUAUUCGGAGGAACACCAGUGGCGAAGGCGGCUCACUGGCUCGAUACUGACGCUGAGGUGCGAAAGUGUGGGGAGCAAACAGGAUUAGAUACCCUGGUAG